AGUCACAGACACUCAGGCGGAAAGCUCUAAGGCCCGCCCCCAACCACUUCUCGGCCCCGCCCUUCUCCUAGGCCACGCCCCCAACCCUGUCCUCCCUACUCACUCGGGGCUCCUCGCCCUCCGUAUCUGGAGUCCAGACUGGAGGUGAGAAUACAAGGAUGCACCCAAAAAAAGGGAAGUUGUGCCCUGUAAAUCAUCAUCCCCCUUUUGCAGACGGGGAAACUGAGGACUCCAGUGUGGAACUGAUCUGCGCACCAGGCCACAAUGUCUAUCCGGGUCGCUGGACCCAAUGCCCCGGAAUAUGGGAUAGACUCAGCCAGAGAGUCCAGUUUCCAGCCUGAUAAUUGACGCAGGCCAUGACAGAGCCUAAGAGAUAGUCUGACAUUUUUUAAAAAUCUGACACUAUCUUUUACCUGGCAUUAAAUAAUGCCACCUAAACAGGCGGCAGCUCAGGGUAUGGAGACUUCAGAAGGAGCCUAUCAGAGAAUGUGGAAUGUUGAUCAUUCCUGGGGCAGAGCUAAGUGCAUGAUUGAAAGGUCAGCUUGGGGGCGGGGAAGGACAAGAUGGUGGGCGGAGCUUAAGGGAGAAAGACUUUUGCUGAUUGGAAGAGCUGACGUUCCCGGGAGGCGGCAGCUUGGCUAGAA